rnacentral:rRNA from 1 species
UACGGAGGAUGCAAGCGUUAUCCGGAAUGAUUGGGCGUAAAGCGUCCGCAGGUGGCUGUGUAAGUCUGCUGUCAAAGAGCAAAGCUCAACUUUGUAAAGGCAGUGGAAACUACACGGCUAGAGUGCGUUCGGGGCAGAGGGAAUUCCUGGUGUAGCGGUGAAAUGCGCAGAUAUCAGGAAGAACACCCGUGGCUAAGGCGGUUCUCUAGUACGGUACUGGCGCUGAGACGCGAAAGCGUGGGGAGCGAACAGG